GCCUGUAUGUAUUCUACAUAUAUCGUACUACUAAAAUCAAUCUGUUGAGGUUAGUUUCCAUUUCAAGGAGAGUAGAGAAUCACAACCACCAGCUCCUAUCAUGUGCUGCAUCGUAUCAAUUAAAAUUAAAUUAAAUUAAAUUUCAUGCAAAGAACACAACUUAAAAAAAUCCCAGCAAAUAACAACAGAACCUUUCCACUAAUGAUUUUCAGUCAUCGGAAGUAGAGAGAGACUCAGACAGCAGACAGCAUGGUCCCAGCAUGCUUUUUGCCUUUUUUUUUGUUUGCACAGUAGCUGUCAGUUGCAGCCCUGCAGGAUAAUUAAAAGAGAAUCCUGUAAAGGCAACAUUCCUUCAAGCAAGUUGGUGCUGUAACGUUCUGAAAUACGUAAGGAGGCAUUGACCCCGGAGGACCACGCAAUAUAUGAACACAGUCUGACUGUUGAAGUGGACAAAGAUUAGAAGUCAUGGCAGAGAAGUGGCAAGAAAGGUAGAAGACUCAAGAGAGAGGCUGUGCUCAGAAGGACUGAGAGGACUGAACUAGUCACACAACAGCCACCAGCUCUCAGCCUAACAGU
rnacentral:lncRNA from 1 species